CUGUCCUAGGCUUUUACAAAAGAUUCUAGACGGAGCUCUGCCGCCUCCUGUGAAGACUUCUUCUGCCCCUUCACACAGCCGGCUGCUCUCUUUCCUCCUGACCCGGCUCUGCUCUGAGCAGAUGUUGGCGCUCAAGAUGAUUCAUCUUCACUCUGUAGCCUAGGAAGCCAACAAUGUCCAGCCUGUGGGCUACAGAUUGGACAGCCUGAUAGAGGUGGAAGGUGGAGGACUCAUCUUGGUGACAAACAUUGUCAACAGUUUGACUAUUAUCCUUCAGUCCUGGAAACCCCACCCUGGUACCUUCAAAUAAAG
rnacentral:lncRNA from 1 species